AGGACGAACGCUGGCGGCGUGCUUAACACAUGCAAGUCGAACGAUGAAGCCUUCGGGUGGAUUAGUGGCGAACGGGUGAGUAACACGUGGGUGAUCUGCCUCGUACUUCGGGAUAAGCUUGGGAAACUGGGUCUAAUACCGGAUAUGACCAGGGGCUGCAUGGUUUCUGGUGGAAAGAUUUAUCGGUGCGAGAUGAGCCCGCGGCCUAUCAGCUUGUUGGUGGGGUAAUGGCCUACCAAGGCGACGACGGGUAGCCGGCCUGAGAGGGCGAUCGGCCACACUGGGACUGAGACACGGCCCAGACUCCUACGGGAGGCAGCAGUGGGGAAUAUUGCACAAUGGGCGCAAGCCUGAUGCAGCGACGCCGCGUGGGGAUGACGGCCUUCGGUUGUAACCUCUUCGGCAGGGACGAAGCGAGAGUGACGGUACCUGCAGAAGAAGCACCGGCCAACUACGCGCUAGCAGCCGCGGU
rnacentral:rRNA from 1 species